rnacentral:rRNA from 1 species
AAUGAACGCUGGCGGCGUGCUUAACACAUGCAAGUCGAACGAGGCGGAGGGGGGCGAACUCCUUCCAGUCGAGUGGCGGACGGGUGAGUAACACGUGGGUAACCGUGCCCGGAACGUGGGGAAGUAACCUCGGGGAAACGUACGAGCUAAUACCGCAUGACAUCUUCGGGACGAAAGUACCUGGUGAUCAAAGCGGGGUCGCAAGAUCUCGCGCUACCGGAUGGGCCCGGCGCCCGACUUAGCUAGUUGGUGAGGUAACGGGCUCACCAAGGCUUCGAUCGGUAACCGGCCUGAGAGGGCGGAUC